AGGAAGUGUAGUUUAUGAGAGAAUGCUGCUUUUGUAAAGCAGUGGUGUAGUUUGAUUAGCUUCUUU
rnacentral:tRNA from 1 species